GUGGGGAAUAUUGGACAAUGGGCGCAAGCCUGAUCCAGCAACGCCGCGUGAAUGAUGAAGGCCUUCGGGUCGUAAAGUUCUUUUGGUAGGGAAGAAAAUGACGGUACCUACAGAAUAAGCUCCGGCUAACUUCGUGCCAGCAGCCGCGGUAAUACGAAGGGGGCUAGCGUUGUUCGGAAUUACUGGGCGUAAAGCGUGCGUAGGUUGUUAUUCAAGUUAGUGGUGAAAGCCCAGGGCUUAACUCUGGAACUGCCAUUAAAACUGAAUAGCUAGAGAGUGUUAGAGGUAAGUGGAAUUCCUAGUGUAGGAGUGAAAUCCGUAGAUAUUAGGAGGAACAUCAAUGGCGAAGGCAGCUUACUGGGUCACAUCUGACACUGAGGCACGAAAGCGUGGGGAGCAAACAGGAUUAGAUACCCUGGUAGUCC
rnacentral:rRNA from 1 species